AGUGAACGCUGGCGGUAGGCCUAACACAUGCAAGUCGAACGGCAGCACAGGAGAGCUUGCUCUCUGGGUGGCGAGUGGCGGACGGGUGAGGAAUACAUCGGAAUCUACUCUGUCGUGGGGGAUAACGUAGGGAAACUUACGCUAAUACCGCAUACGACCUACGGGUGAAAGCAGGGGACCUUCGGGCCUUGCGCGAUUGAAUGAGCCGAUGUCGGAUUAGCUAGUUGGCGGGGUAAAGGCCCACCGAGGCGACGAACCGUAGAGGGACUGGACGGAUGGUCAGCCACACUGAAACGGAGACACGGUCCAGACUCCUACGGGAGGCAGCAGUGGGGAAUAUUGGACAAUGGGCGCAAGCCUGAUUCAGCCAUACCGCGUGGGUGGAGAAGGCCUUCGGGUUGUAAAGCCCUUUUGUUGGGAAAGAAAUCCAGCUGGCUAAUACCCGGUUGGGAUGACGGUACCCAAAGAAUAAGCACCGGCUAACUUCGUGCCAGCAGCCGCAGUAA
rnacentral:rRNA from 1 species